rnacentral:rRNA from 1 species
GACGAACGCUGGCGGCGUGCUUAACACAUGCAAGUCGAACGGAAAGGCCCUGCUUUUGUGGGGUGCUCGAGUGGCGAACGGUUGAGUAACACGUGAGUAACCUGCCCUUGACUUUGGGAUAACUUCAGGAAACUUGGGCUAAUACCGGAUAGGAGCUCCUGCUGCAUGGUGGGGGUUGGAAAGUUUCGGCGGUUGGGGAUGGACUCGCGGCUUAUCAGCUUGUUGGUGGGGUAGUGGCUUACCAAGGCUUUGACGGGUAGCCGGCCUGAGAGGGUGACCGGCCAAAUUGGGACUGAGAUACGGCCCAGACUCCUACGGGAGGAAGCAGUGGGGAAUAUUGCACAAUGGGCGGAAGCCUGAUGCAGCAACGCAGCGUGCGGGAUGACGGCCUUCGGGUUGUAAACCGCUUUCGCCUGUGACGAAGCGUGAGUGACGGUAAUGGGUAAAGAAGCACCGGCUAACUACGUG